rnacentral:lncRNA from 1 species
GUAAGUAUUUAGUGAUUGGCUCUGGGAAAAACAAUUAUAGUAUUUGCCUAUUUUUGUAGGGCAAUGGCUUACAGCAGCCACUAGAGGGAUCUCUGUUUUCAAGCCACUAGAGAGACAUCAUUGAACACAAGCUGGGAAGGGUGCGCUGAUAGGCACCAUUGUUCAGAGUGUCUACUACACAGAUGAGACAGACGUCAAUAGCCUCAGGAGUACAGAUCUCUGUCACUGCAUGAGAACCACCCCAAAACUCAGUGCCUUAAAGUAAUAGCCACACACUUUCCCAUAACACUGGGUCUCCCGGUGGCAUCUGCAAGGCUCACUCACGUGUUCUGUGUUUGUCGGGUGGCAGAUCAGC